AUUGAACGCUGGCGGAAUGCUUUACACAUGCAAGUCGAGCGGCAGCGCGGGGCAACCUGGCGGCGAGCGGCGAACGGGUGAGUAACAUAUCGGAACGUACCCAGUCGUGGGGGAUAACUAUCCGAAAGGAUAGCUAAUACCGCAUACGACCUGAGGGUGAAAGGGGGGGAUCGCAAGACCUCUCGCGAUUGGAGCGGCCGAUAUCGGAUUAGCUAGUUGGUGAGGUAAAGGCUCACCAAGGCGACGAUCCGUAGCUGGUCUGAGAGGACGACCAGCCACACUGGAACUGAGACACGGUCCAGACUCCUACGGGAGGCAGCAGUGGGGAAUUUUGGACAAUGGGGGCAACCCUGAUCCAGCCAUUCCGCGUGAGUGAAGAAGGCCUUCGGUUGUAAGCUCUUCGGUCAGGAACGAAACGGUAGAGCUCUACAUAGCUUGUCUAAUGACGGUACCUGAAGAAGAAGCACCGGCUAACUACGUGCCAGCACGCCGCGGUAACGU
rnacentral:rRNA from 1 species